rnacentral:lncRNA from 1 species
AAAAUCCAGACUUAGCAGUCCUUAACACAUCAAAAAAUAGCAGUCCUAUAUGUUGUACCAAAUCAUCAAUAUUUAGGCCCCGUUCGGCAAUGCGCUGGCUCGUUGAAAUCCGCGGAUCUGCGGAGCAUCGUUUCGCCCGCUCCAAGACUUUUCACUGCAGCUCCGUCUACUCCCGGAGCGGAGCAGUGGAGCGGAUGGACACCGAACGGGGCCUUACACUCAGAAAAUCCAUUCAUCACAAGAAAUUCAGAAGCACUUAGUUAGAAUUCAGUACCACUUGUCAUUGACAUAUCAGAAGCACUUAGUUAAAAUUCAGUACCACUUGUCAUUGAAAUUCAGAAGCACUGAACAUUCAUAUUCUGGCCAAGUGCUACUAUUGAUCUCGUUGCUAAACAAUACAAGAUAAGCACGGAUGUGAAAAAAGGAAAGCAUUGGAAACUCUCUAAAUUGGAAUGCAUGCUGCCAUCAGUACAUAUACAUGAUUGGUCUUUAUGUGGAAACAUGAGCAGAGAAGAUACUUCAGUUAUUUGAAAUCGAUGCGAGUCAGGGAUACUGUUUAAAGUAGGAUAUGCCAAAUAAAUGAAAGGAUGUUGUAGAUAUGCACUUUUAUAAAGACUAAGACAAGCUAUCAGGUAGUACAUUUAGAGCGUCGACCCUCCCUGCCCGCCGGCAUGGUUCGCCAUCACAGGCAUCACCUUCCCGUCCAGCUCGCACUCACCGGCUGCCUCUCCCGCGACCCGCUACACAACUACGGGGCUCCUGCUUCCAUGAAAACGCAAUAUAAUUUAUAUUCACCAAGAAGCAACAGAAGUAAGGUCACUACAUUAAAUCCUAGUAUGAUGAACCAUUUAUGCUGAGAUACAUACGGAGCAACACAUAGGUUAAAGUUAAAUCUAGCAAUAUAGUACACUUGGCACCGGGUAAACCCCAGAUUAAACAAUGUGGUAGAUAGUUGUUUACCUGAAUGCUGACAGAAGUAUACCAAGUAACAAAGCUAGUUACUGGCAAAGCUCAAUGCCUCCAAACCAAAGUUUAACUCCUAAUACGAAAUGUCUCCGAAUCAAGCUAGUUGUGGCCAAACUUUGGAACCUAAAAAAAUGGAGUGGAAAACAAAAUUAGGAAAUGCAAGAGAAAGAAAGUAACAUAGGAUAAAAUUACCUCAUUGCUCCAAACAUAUACAGUACUGCUAAGAAAUCUCCUUAUUAGUUCUUUUUAUAGAAUUAGCCCAUUGAUGAGAUAAAGAUACUAAAUAUAGUUAUUUCUUACAACAAUCUCUGGAAGAUUAGUAUUACACCAAAUGUUGCCAAGAAACAUAUACACCAGGAGAAGUGGUUCUGUUUUAGAGAACUAACUGAACAAAGAGACUUUAACUAAUAAAGUAGCACAUAAUCCGUGAUGUAAUUCAUAGCAGUACAGGUCCUUUGAUGCUAUUUGCAUCAAGAAAGUGGUAAAAGAGCAGCACCUGAGUUCAAUUCUUACCACACGAACACGAAUUACCUGAAGUCUGCCAAUCAAGUUGAGUAUAAAGAUAGCAAAUGAAGAAAUUAGUUGCUGUCUGCCCGACUCAGGUUUGCAGCAUACAAAUAGAUAUACACAGACCAUGAAUGUACUAUAACUUUAGAAGAAUAUAUACAUUAAUCUUCCAUAUUGUAGGAAAAACAAAUUUGGAGCACAAAGUAGAGAGAAACACUUGCAACACACGUGCAGGAUAUAAGACCACAUAUAACUGUGCAGCACACAGAGAUCGGAUGGUGCACCAUGGGCUGCAGCAAGCGAGAAGAAUUUCCUGGGAAUGUUUCGGUGGUUCUCGCGAGGGGGUGCAUGAAGGGUUGCUGAGAAGAUGCCAUUAUUUAAAGCAUUAUUUGUAGUAGCAAUCCAUAACUGUGCAGAUAUAUUUCCAUUGAUUUGAUAAAACGAUAAAAGAAAACCAUGGCCACACACUUGUGCCACCUUGGCUCUACCCUAUUAGUGAAAUACAAGAUGACAUAUUUUUAAACUUAAUUAUUAUCAGAUCAACAAAGAAAAAAGAAAAGUAAUUUACUACUCCCUCCAUCCCAAAAUAAGAGUCGUUGAAACUCAUCAUGCGACGGAGGGAGUACUGUAGUUUAGCACAUUUCUCUUUCACAAGUAUAGCAGUUGAAUAAUGCGCAGCAAUCUGAAAUCCUUCACUUACAAAGAAAGAGGGAAGACAUAAUACAGGCUUGUUAGCUCACCCAUACACAGAUGAGUCAGUGAUGAAGUGGAUUGCCAAAAAGAACAUAGGGGAAAUAAUCAUAUCCAUGCGUGGCAUACUCAGCUCCACCCUUUCUCAUCAUAUCUUUGGUCA